AUUUGCAUCCUUUGAUGUCAAUAGCUGAUCCGGGCGCGUCCACUGUAAACCACUGAUCCAACCAAUCUCGUAGUUCGCUGUACAAUAAUUUGGAAUUCUGACCGUAAAAACGCAUGAUGGUGUAUGAUGAUGUACUGAUGUCAAGCGUUUCAGUAUGCAAAUUUUUUUUUUGCCUCGUGGAGUGCCGUUGAUAGUUGAAAUGUGUUUAUUAUUGUUUUGGCUUGGAGAGUGUGAUGGUGUAGUGGUGUUGUGCGUGUGUCAUUGUGCUGCUGUAUGUCGGUUCAAGACUCGGUACGCAUUGGAAAUUUUUUCAAAGGCAUGGGUAGUGUUUGGUAGAUUUAAGUUGCUAAUAAGCGAUUGUUUAUGGUUGUUAGCUUGAAUGUCAGGAUGUGCGGCACAUGGUCUAUUGUGGCGGUUCGUGUAUGGUAAGUGGUGGCCGAUGUUCGAGGGAUGAUGUCUGGGGAUUGCGAGUUGUUAAUACUGCGCGAAGGUUGCGCGUCGCCGGGUCGCCAGUGGGAGGACAGGUAAUCUAGGAUUUAGCCGUUUGUUUUAUUAUUUUUCCAGUAAAACUUGUUAACACUUUGCAUUUUUGUGGAUUUAAUAAAUUUUUUCUAUUACUUAAAUUUGUUUUUUAGAAUUUCAACAUAUAUAUAUUCAAUAUAUAGUUUAGUGUUAAAUAUUUAUUCAAUUAAUUAAUAAGUCAAUUUAAUUAAUUUAUAGUUGAAGAUGUUAGAAUGAGAUUACAAAAAUACUAACUUAUUUUUGUAAUCUCAUUCUAACACCUUUUCAAUAACCCAUAAAGUUCCCAGUUUGUGUUUGUGUGUAGGAGGUUUUUACUGUUGGAUUAUUGUUUUGGAAUUUAUUUUUCUAACACUUCAGAAGACCUGGCCAAGUGAGAUUCUGGAAAUAUUGUAGUCUUUCCAUUAAGCUUAAUGUUGGCUAAUUUCAAAAAUUUCAGACUUUGCAAUAUGAUUAAUUACCUAUGGUUUAUAAAAUUGUCAAAAUGAAGAUUUUUUCAGUUUUUAUUCAAACAUUACAAUUUUCAUUAUAGUUAUAUAUAAAAACUAGAUAAAAAUUCUAUACAUAAGAAAAAUAUUUAAAUUGUGAGAAAGAUGUG
rnacentral:lncRNA from 1 species